UCGAGAGGUAGUAUAACUAAUUACAUGACGCUUACAACGUUAAAAUAAGAGACUACUCUUCCUCUUGAG
rnacentral:tRNA from 2 species